AGCUUGAUAAGCUGGCCGACAGGGGUAAUGCUCGAAAAUUCUACGAAAAAAUGCGGCGGCUUACAGAAGGUUUCAAGACCGGAGCAUACUCUUGUAGAACCCCCAAAGGUGAUCUAGUCACCGAUGCCCAGAGCAUACUUAAAUUAUGGAGGGAACACUUCUCCAGCCUGCUGAAUGGCAGUGAACGCGAAACACCAG